rfam:Cladophialophora psammophila CBS 110553 aczJe-supercont1.2, whole genome shotgun sequence.
UUCAACAGACUUCAUAGAAUCAUUUCUAUAGUAAACGUCCUCUUCUGAGCUCUUCACACGAGCCACAGAAUCCUCAACCUGGCUGACGAAAUAAAGUCCUCGGUACCCUGGAGUGAAGCCUUAUGUGUACUCUCGCUGCGUUCUUGUUUGCGGUCUUCGGAUCAGAACAAGAACAAGAGAGUGGUGAUGAUCUUUGACCUGCGUUUGGUGACUUGGCUUCGUGCCGGCCUGCGCAGGAGGUACCGAUGGAUUUACUCUGACAGGC